AUGGAACUCAGAAGGAGACAUCAAAUUCUAUUGUCCUAUAUUUACAACUUGUGUCAAGUCUCUCAAUCAUUGGAAUUAUUGUGCCCAUCAGCGCAUUCCCUUCUACUGAAGUGAAGAACCAAAGAACAGAGCUCUACCUAUGAAGACAGUUUGAGUUCUGCAAGAAAUGUGUGGAAGAUUUUAAUUACUAUGGAAACGCUAUUUCCCAUUGCUCACAGAGGAGCCUGAGAAGAACUUCAUCCCAGCCUCUACCUCAAUCCUAAUGGAUGUCUGCACCUGCCUCUCUGUUCCCAAAUACUUCUGAAGUCAGCUCCAAGAACAGCUCAAUAGAGUGCAACUUGCGAUUAAAAAAAAAAAAAAAGCCUCUCUUUUAGGGAUCCAGCUGGGUUAUGAUUUAAAUUUAAAGGAAUAUCAAA